AGAGUUUGAUCCUGGCUCAGGACGAACGCUGGCGGCGUGCCUAAUACAUGCAAGUAGAACGCUGAAGAGAGGAGCUUGCUCUUCUUGAAUGAGUUGCGAACGGGUGAGUAACGCGUAGGUAACCUGCCUUGUAGCGGGGGAUAACUAUUGGAAACGAUAGCUAAUACCGCAUAACAAUGGGUGACACAUGUCAUUUAUUUGAAAGGGGCAAUUGCUCCACUACAAGAUGGACCUGCGUUGUAUUAGCUAGUAGGUGAGGUAACGGCUCACCUAGGCGACGAUACAUAGCCGACCUGAGAGGGUGAUCGGCCACACUGGGACUGAGACACGGCCCAGACUCCUACGGGAGGCAGCAGUAGGGAAUCUUCGGCAAUGGGGGCAACCCUGACCGAGCAACGCCGCGUGAGUGAAGAAGGUUUUCGGAUCGUAAAGCUCUGUUGUAAGUCAAGAACGAGUGUGAGAGUGGAAAGUUCACACUGUGACGGUAGCUUACCAGAAAGGGACGGCUAACUACGUGCCAGCAGCCGCGGUAAUACGUAGGUCCCGAGCGUUGUCCGGAUUUAUUGGGCGUAAAGCGAGCGCAGGCGGUUUGAUAAGUCUGAAGUUAAAGGCUGUGGCUCAACCAUAGUUCGCUUUGGAAACUGUCAAACUUGAGUGCAGAAGGGGAGAGUGGAAUUCCAUGUGUAGCGGUGAAAUGCGUAGAUAUAUGGAGGAACACCGGUGGCGAAAGCGGCUCUCUGGUCUGUAACUGACGCUGAGGCUCGAAAGCGUGGGGAGCGAACAGGAUUAGAUACCCUGGUAGUCCACGCCGUAAACGAUGAGUGCUAGGUGUUGGAUCCUUUCCGGGAUUCAGUGCCGCAGCUAACGCAUUAAGCACUCCGCCUGGGGAGUACGACCGCAAGGUUGAAACUCAAAGGAAUUGACGGGGGCCCGCACAAGCGGUGGAGCAU
rnacentral:rRNA from 1 species